GAGGGAGUCCGUGAAGGACGUUUGUCCAAAGAAGAAGCAUCAUCUAGCAAGAAAUAUGGGGGUAGUUUCUCCAAGAGGAAGGAGGGGGAAACUAAUUCAGUGUCAGUGGGGAGACAGAGGAGGCCUCAUGUAAGAAAGAGUUCUCAACCUCGCCAACAUCAACUUCAAGUUUCUUCAGUAAUUCCAGUUUUUUACAACUAUUCAAACAAUCAAUCUGUUCUGAUUCAACAACAACAACGUUAACAACAAC
rnacentral:lncRNA from 1 species